CGAACGCUGGCGGCGUGCCUAAUGCAUGCAAGUCGAACGGGGUCCUCACGAUGGGUAACCAUUGAGAGGUUCCUAGUGGCGAACGGGUGCGUAACACGUGAGAAACCUGCCCCGGAGACCGGGAUAGCCCAGGGAAACCUGGAUUAAUACCGGAUACCCUCUAACGGUCACAUGGCCGACUGAGGAAAUGGUCCGCUGCUCCGGGAUGGUCUCGCGGCCUAUCAGCUUGUUGGUGAGGUAACGGCUCACCAAGGCAACGACGGGUAGCUGGUCUGAGAGGACGAUCAGCCACACUGGGACUGAUACACGGCCCAGACUCCUACGGGAGGCAGCAGCAGGGAAUAUUGCACAAUGGGCGAAAGCCUGAUGCAGCGACGCCGCGUGAGGGAUGACGGCCUUCGGGUUGUAAACCUCUUUCAGGAGGGACGAAGCGAAAGUGACGGUACCUCCAGAAGAAGCCCCGGCCAACUAC
rnacentral:rRNA from 1 species